UACAGAGGGGGCAAGCGUUGUUCGGAAUUACUGGGCGUAAAGCGCGCGUAGGCGGCUUUGCAAGUCGAGUGUGAAAUCCCCAGGCUUAACCUGGGAACUGCAUUCGAGACUGCAUAGCUAGAGUAUGGGAGAGGGAAGUGGAAUUUCAGGUGUAGCGGUGAAAUGCGUAGAUAUCUGUAGGAACACCCGUGGCGAAGGCGGCUCGCUGGACCGUUACUGACGCUGAGACGCGAAAGCGUGGGGAGCAAACAGG
rnacentral:rRNA from 1 species